rnacentral:rRNA from 1 species
UACGUAGGGGGCAAGCGUUGUCCGGAAUCAUUGGGCGUAAAGCGCGUGUAGGCGGCCUUGUAAGUCCGUUCUGAAAGCCCGGGGCUCAACCCCGGGAGGCGGAUGGAUACUGCAAGGCUCGAGUACGGAAGAGGCGAGUGGAAUUCCCGGUGUAGCGGUGAAAUGCGCAGAUAUCGGGAAGAACACCUAUGGCGAAGGCAGCUCUCUGGGACGGUACUGACGCUGAGACGCGAAAGCGUGGGGAGCAAACAGG